GUGACUUGUGCCACGGGCGGCCUGAAUCAAAUAUGAGACUUGGGGAGAAACAGGACGCUUGACGGAGCCGCUGCCAGAGUCUGCAGUCACAACACCUGAACUGGAUAUUACAGGAGCUCUCUCACAAGGCCCUAUACCUACAAGUUUACUGAGACUUUUGUCAUUGUUUCAUGCCUUCACUGAAAAUGGGUUUCUACCCAGUCAGACCUACCUGGUAAUCAAAUGUCAAUAAAUAUAUAAAUAAACAUCCCAGCCUGUGCAAAUAUUGAAGAAGGUGCCAUACUGAGAGCCAGCCUAUAAGGUGGUAAGCAAAUCACCUUUGACUGAAGCACAUUCAGAAUGGAGGAGGGAAUACGGCAGCUGUAACUAAGCGCAGUGCCUGUGGAAUUGCAGAAUGUCUAAAUAGAGGAUGCCUAUAUGUUGCUACAAAUACAAAAAAAUCUGAUUAAAGGAUGCCUAAAUGUGUCUGGAUAUUGUACAAAAUUAAACUAAUGCAUGUGUCUUGAGUAUUGUACAAAAUUAAACUAAUGCACAAAAAAAAUCAACAAAUACAUGGAGAGUGCAACA